rnacentral:piRNA from 1 species
UGCUUAAGGCUAACAUGAUCCAGUGUC